AUACUUACCUGCCCGGGGAGAUACCACAGUCACAAAGGUGGUUUUCCCAGGGUGAGGCUUCUCUAUGGCACUCGGGAUGUGCUGACCCCUGAGAGUUCCCCAAAUGUGGGAAGCUCAACUGCAUGAUUUGUGGUAGUAGGGGCUUCAUUUGCACUCUCUC